rnacentral:rRNA from 1 species
AGAGUUUGAUCCUGGCUCAGGACGAACGCUGGCGGCGUGCCUAAUACAUGCAAGUCGAGCGGAUCUGAUGAGGUGCUUGCACCUCUGAUGGUUAGCGGCGGACGGGUGAGUAACACGUAGGCAACCUGCCUGUAAGACUGGGAUAACAUUCGGAAACGAAUGCUAAUACCAGAUACGCGAUUUUCUCGCAUGGGAGAAUC